AUGUCCAAUCUGCCUCAAGCUUCACAAGUCCGUUCAUCGCUGCUUGCAGCUUUAAUUAGGGCUCAAGCCUGGAGGGCGAGAGCCCUAUUGUUUUCCUUAGGAUUAUUUGUUAUUAUUAUUAUUAUUUAUUAUUCUUAUUUUUUUUCAAGGUUUCGGGGGCUUUUAGGGCCCUUAACAUGCUUAAAAAGUCUUGAAAAUUGGCACACACAAUGGAACCUGCGGCCAUUAGGGCCGGGCAGAGACUGAUACAUGGGCGUGGCACAGGGGCUCUACAGCGCCCCCUGGAACAUGGAGGGCCAUAUAUCAUACAUACUUGCACGUAGACAUAUGAAACUCGGUACACAUAUAGAUCUCAUCAAUCCAAACAACUUUCGUAUUGCAUGUCAUAAGCUCCGCCCAACAGGAUGUUGGCUAUUUAGGGUUUAGUAUUCUUAUUUUUCGUCAAAGUUUUGGGGGCUUUUGGGGCCCUUAACAUGCUCAAAAACUCUUGAAAAUUUACACACACCUUAGAAUCUAUGGCCAUUAGGAGGCUGCAGAGGCUGAGACCCGGGCGUGGCACAGGGGCUCUACGGCGCCCCCUGGAACACAGUCAGAAAUGUUGAUGUAUAGCUCACACAUACUUGCACGUAUUCAUAUGAAACUCAGUACACAUAUAGAUCUCAUUGUGCCAAACAACUUUCGUAUUGCAUGUCAUAGGCUCCGCCCAACAGGAAGUCAGCUAUUUAGAGCUAUGUAAAAAGCGCAUGCUCUGGAAUUUGAUAUACUUGUCAUAGGUUUUUUACCCAAUUGCCACCAAACUUGGUCAACAUGAUCUCAAGACAUUGGGGAUGCAAAAUUGCCAGGGGAUUUUUGAUAUCUCGAAUGGUUUGCUUGUGGCGAGGCGUAGAAAUUAUGGUGAGAAAUGAGAAACAGGAAGUGUCUAAUAACAUCCACAUACAUUUCCUGAUUUUAAUUAAACUUCAUCAGUUUGUUCGUUGUAUGAUGCCGAUCGCAUAUAUGUGACUAUUAGGAGUCAAAAUUAUAGCGCCACCAACUGGCAGCAGGAAGUGUGUCAUUUUCAAAAUGCUUUGAAUUCAGCAUCUUAUUUUAACUCAAUUUGCCUCAAACUUCAUCAGAAUAAUGACAAAACACGGCCCAUGUAAAACUGUUGAGGGGAUAUUGAUAUCUAAUAUAGUGUUGCCAUGGCAACAUAUCAAACUGGAAUAUUUUUCUGUAUAAUAUAUUCUGAUUUUGAGGCAGAUAACAUGCUUAGAAUUUCAUGAAACUCAGAACACAUAUCAGUAUUAAUGAUAGCUAGACACUGGCAAAAGGUCAUAAAAGGGCGUGGAGGAGGCACUCUAUAGCGCCACCUUUUGUCAAAAGUGGGGGGCUUAGUUUUAGCUACAGACACCAAACUCGGUACAUAUAUUGUUCUUAUUAAGACGGGCAACUUUCUAAUUUACAGUCAUUAGCUACGACCAACAGGAAGUCGGCUAUUUUGAUUUGAAUAUGGAUUUUUGGCUCUGUGUGAGGAGUGUAUGUGUGCUGAGACUUUCAUUGUCUGAGAGAAAUUGCGCCUCUACAGGAGCAAUUCCCGGGACUGAGAGGGAGGAGUCUCCCUAAGUUUCACUUUUAAAUCGGUUAAAAAUACUAAUAAAUAAAUACAUUGAAUUAACACUGACAAGCUAAACCAACAUAUCUUAUUAUUAGCGGGUCAGGGCUUAUUAAUAAUUGAUGUAUGGCCAGAGAACAGAGAGAUAGACGAGAGAUAAAUCGCCGCUCCGAACAGCGCGUGCAGUCUCAACGAGCUCACAACAAACGAGUUUAUUCUUGUUUAAGACCUUUUAAAAAUAAAAUAUUACGGCGAUUGCACACAAUCCGCCAAUUAGAACACACCAAGAGCUAAAUUCAGAUGUUUGUGAGUGUUAAAAUGAAAUAUUUGCUGCAGCCUGUCUGACAUCGCGAGACUCCUGAACACUUGAAGGGAAAAAAGUCUACAUACAGAAACUACAGCCUUUUACAUUAAAACACAGCGGCGAUUUAACACAAAACAAUUAGAAGG
ensembl:lncRNA